rnacentral:rRNA from 1 species
GACGAACGCUGGCGGCGUGCUUAACACAUGCAAGUCGAACGUGAUUUUUGUGGAAAUUCUUUCGGGAAUGGAAAUGAAAUGAAAGUGGCGAACGGGUGAGUAACACGUGAGCAACCUACCUUACACAGGGGGAUAGCCGUUGGAAACGACGAUUAAUACCGCAUGAGACCACAGAAUCGCAUGAUAUAGGGGUCAAAGAUUUAUCGGUGUAAGAAGGGCUCGCGUCUGAUUAGCUAGUUGGAAGGGUAGAGGCCUACCAAGGCGACGAUCGGUAGCCGGUCUGAGAGGAUGAACGGCCACAUUGGAACUGAGACACGGUCCAAACUCCUACGGGAGGCAGCAGUGGGGAAUAUUGCACAAUGGGGGGAACCCUGAUGCAGCGACGCCGCGUGAGCGAAGAAGGUUUUCGAAUCGUAAAGCUCUGUCCUAUGAGAAGAUAAUGACGGUAUCAUAGGAGGAAGCCCCGGCUAAAUACGUGCCAGCCGCCGCGGUAAGAC